rnacentral:rRNA from 1 species
GACGAACGCUGGCGGCGUGCCUAAUACAUGCAAGUCGAACGCAGUGGGGACGGGUGAGUAACACGUGGGUAACCUCCCAUCAGAGGGGAUAAAACUUGGAAACAGGUGCUAAACCGAUACUGCUGGAUGGACCCGCGGUGCAUUAGCUAGUGGGUGAGGUAACGGCUCACCAAGGCCACGAUGCAUAGCUGACCGGCAAUGGUGAUCGGCCACACUGGUACUGAGACACGGCCACGACUCCUACGGGAGGCAGCAGUAGGGAAUCUUCCACAAUGGACGAAAGUCUGAUGGAGAAACGCCGCGUGAGUGAAGAAGGUUUUCGGAUCGUAAAGCUCUGUUGUUGGUGAAGCGGUAAUCAACCAGAAAGUCACGGCUAACUACGUGCCAGCAGCCGCGGUAAUAC